CCUACGGGUGGCAGCAGUGAGGAAUAUUGGUCAAUGGACGCAAGUCUGAACCAGCCAUGCCGCGUGCAGGAAGACGGCUCUAUGAGUUGUAAACUGCUUUUGUACGAGGGUAAACGCAGAUACGCGUAUCUGUCUGCAAGUAUCGUAUGCAUAAGGAUCGGCUAACUCCGUGCCAGCAGCCGCGGUAAUACGGAGGAUUCAAACGUUAUCCGGAUUUAUUGGGUUUAAAGGGUGCGUAGGAUGUGAGGUAAGUCAGCGGUGAAAUGCCCCGGGUCAACGGGGUGAAGUGCCAUUGAUACUGCAUUGCUGGAGUGCGGAUGCGGUGGGAGGAAUGUGUGGUGUAGCGGUGAAAUGCAUAGAUAUCACACAGAACACCGAUUGCGAAGGCAGCUCACGAAUCCGCGAUUGACGCUGAUGUACGAAAGCGUGGGUAUCAAACAGGAUUAGAUACCCCAGUAGUC
rnacentral:rRNA from 1 species